GCGAUGCAAAGCGCGGUGACGUGAGAGUGGAAAUGGGGUGUUUUCGAACUGUCUUUGGCCCCCGCCCCCAGGCUGAUCUCGAUCUGGCCUGCUGCGGGGCAGGGGAGAAGGCGCCAGCUGCGGCAGGGCGCGCCUCAGGGUGACGCCGUGGCCGCGAGGUGAAGUGAGACCAAGAUAGCCUGGGCGGGAGCGUCAGACUACGUGCCUUGGGGUGCGCAGGCCCGCGCUCCGCAGUGCGUGUCCGCCGGCGGGAUGGCGCGUUUCAGCUCCGAGGCCCCGUGAUGCGAGCUCGCAGUGCGAUCCUUCUCCUGCUUGCCCUUAUAGGGGCUCCGCACACCCUGAUUGAACUGACUCCGCUGAUUCCCGCUGAUCAGUCUUUCUCGGAAAGCCCCUCAGAUUGCUCGUUUGUCUCGGCUCCCUGGACCUGGUCGAGGCUUCAAUCCCGUCCGCCAGGCUUGUUGCAGCUGGCCAAAGUGCUCCUUCUUAUAAUUCUCGUUACUGCUCUGCCACCCCAACCAGACUUUCUUGCAAAACUUGGUAUUUCAAUUAGUCUGCAGAUAUUUCUUGAAUACCAAAUAUGUGGCAGUAGCUUUCUUAGUGUGAGAAAAGCAAGAUUUGACUCCCAAGACUCAUCAUCUACGUGGAAAGAUAAAACAAAGACACAAAUAGCUAUAGUAUAAGACGCCUGCUACCCUCCCUCCUGCAUACUGACUUCAUCUUGUAACAGGCUUUGUGAUAAAAACCUGGGAGAAUAUUGGUUCUGGAAUUCCUUGUGGACAAGUCUGGGGAGACCAUUGGUCCUGGCUCCACUCCUGGAAGGGUCUUUCAGAUUUUCAGAAGAAAACUCCUGGCAGACAAAUGAAUCUUUCCUCUCUGCAGUCUCGGGACUGGGCCUUUUCCAAGAGGACACAGAAGAGGAGAGAAUGGCAGCUGUGCCCCUAGCAGCCAGAUGGCAGUUGAAGAGAGGCAAAGAGCCAUGGAAACUUGAUCAUCAGGAAGCUGAGGAGAGAGAAGUCCCAGGAAGCACUUCUCUAGGAAUGCGUGAGCUGGGCAGAUGGGGCUUUGCUGGACAGUUCACUUAGAGACCACUCCUUAGGAUCGCAUAGACCUAUGAGAUGGCCACUGCCACACUGGCCUUUGCCUGGAAAACUCGUACCAUGUAUAGCCACAUGGCCUUCUUGUCACCUUUUUCAAGUUUUUGCUCAAAUGUGCCACCUUCUCAGUCAGGCCUGGCCUGAUGACCCUAUGUAAAAUUGAACCCUCUCCAUCCCUUUGUCCCUCCCAGCCCCUGCACCACCCGCUCUCUUCCCGACUCUGUCUUCCUAACAUACUAUAGUUUUACUUCUUCAUUUUGUUGGUUGUCUGUCCACACCUACCCUCUGUUAAAGUAUAAACUCCAUCAGAGACUUUUUCUGUUGUUUGCUACUGUAUCCCCAGUACUUCAAACAGUACCUGGUACAGAGCACACACUCAGGUAUUUGUCAGAUGAAUGAAUAAGUGGAGUGUGCAUAGCAAGGCCCGCCCCCGUUGGGUUUUUUGCAGGGAGGGUUGAGAUCUAUCAUUAUUUCAACUCUGAUAUCACUUACUUAUCUUUUCUGCAUAUCCUUUACCGUAUCUCCUCCUCUUCCUUUAAAUUACCAUUCAGUGGCCAUUGACAGUUCACUUUCUCAGGUGCUAGCCUGUCUCCCCACUUUUUCUCUGCUGUUUAUACUCAUCGAGUAACAAACUGCCCAGUCAUUUCCCCGCUUCAUUGUGUAUCUCCUAUUUUUAUGCACGUAUCUCUCUCUGAAAUGCUCUUCUUUUGGCUGUGUACUUGGUUAACAACUUUCAGAUCUCAGCUUAAAUGUCACUUCUAGAUGACCGUUCUUAAGGGUCCCUCUAAAGAAGUCCCCACUCCAACUCUCAUUCAUCAUUUCCUUUGCUGUACUUAUCACCAUCUGUUAUAUUUUGUUUAUUUAUUCUUUGUCUUCUGUCUAGUAGAAUAUAAGCAUAACAAGGGUGGGGACCAUGUCUGUCUUGUUCAUUAGGGUCCCAAUGACUUUUACCAUGCCUCCUUACCACUAGGCAGGCCCCUAGUAAAUAUCUCAUGAAUGAAUAACUGAAACUUGUUCAGUGGGCUAGAUGCCCACCUUCCACUUCUGGUCUCUAUUCCUCUUUUUUCCUCUGCCAUUUUUCAGCCUCUCCGUAAUGUUUUUUCUCUGAGGAGCUACCAAUAAACCCAGCAGUAUUUUGCAUUUGUUCUUUUCUUAAUAUAUAUACAAUGUUUUCCUUUUCACUAGCACUCAAACCCAGUUAUAUCUGUGUUUUCUGUUUGUUUUAUACCAGAAGGCUAGACUUAAGAGCCAGGACUCAACUGAAAAGCAGGAUGUUUCUAAAAAAGUAAAGUCAUUACUGAAAAUACAAGACAUGAAUGAAAAACCUCAGAAAAGAUGGUCCUCUGGGUCCUGUACUUGGCCCAGAAAACCCUGAGGGCACAAAGAAAGAAAAUGCUUCAGGGGAGACUUUGAAGAAAUCGUCCCCCAAGGAGAAGGACUCAGGCAAGGAUACACUCUUGCCAAACAAACUGACAAUAAGGAGAUACAGUUGGAAGGCAGUGUAUGUGGGAAGACCUUAUAUAACCAUUUACCCCUCACUUGCCAUCAGAGGACCCACACUGAAGAGAAGCCCUACGACUAUAAAGAAUGCGGGAAAGCCUUCAGCUAUAGGAGUAGUCUUAAGAAACAUUUGAUGUCUCACACUGGCAAGAGCACCUCUGAAGGCAGCGAAUGUCAGGAAACUUUCCAUGACCAAUUAACCCUUAUUGAACAUCAGCGAAGUCAUACCAGAGGGAAGCCUUUUGAAUGUAAUGAAUGUGACAAGGCUUUCUUUGUCCACUUGUGCUUUACUCCACAUCAGAGAAUUCAUACUGGAGAAAGACCUUGUGAGUGUACAGAAUGUGGGAAAUCCUUUAGCCAGAAAAGCAAUCUCAGUCACCACAUGCUCACUCACCCUGGAGAGUGGCCCUGUGGGUGCAAGGCAUGUGACAAAGCUCUGCUUGACCACUCCUCCCUCGUUCACCACAGGAAAGCGCACACUAGAAAGACCCCUUUUGAAUGUAAUGAGUGUGGGAAAGUUUUCUUUGACCCCUCAUCCCUUAAUAAACAUCAGAAAAUUCAUAGUGGAGACAAGCCCUAUAAAGGCACUGAAUGUGGGAAAGCCUUCCUCCAGAAAAGACAACUUAUUCAACAUGAAAGAGUGCACACUGGAGAGAAAUCCUGCAAGUGCAGCAUGUGUGGGAAAGUGCUCAGUUGAAAGUCAUCUAUCAUCUGACAUCAGCGACAUUAUGCAGACAGGCUUCAGAGUAUCACGAAGGUGCUUCAGCUGGACAAGGGACCCCCGUAGUGACUUUGAAACCAGAGGCCAACUUGCUUUAACUAUACUCAGUUAGUUGUCUGUUUGCAAAAGUAGUUAGAUAAUGCAUUGCUAAAACCUGCCCUAUAAAUAACGUCUCUGAUGCCUGGGUCACCGUAAUAACAGGUGCUUGAGUUUUUCAGGAUCUGAAAGUCGACUCCUUGUCCAGUUCAGGCUGGUUAAGACAACCAACUCAUCAACUGGACCUGCACAGAUGACCAAUAGGUGACACUGUGACAUCAAGGAGCUGAAAACUCCACCCUCAGAUCAUGGUAAUGCUGCCAUUUUGUGAAUAUGUGUCCUAUGAAGAGCCAUGAAGCUUGACUAGACUUGCACGGAUCAUCAAUUACCUCACUUCUCCUUCCCUCCAAUCAUCUUUUCCCACUUCAGACCAUCCUGCCUGCCCCCUUAUCCCAUAAAUAUCCCUCGUCCCCAUUUUGGGGGGGAGGUAGAUUUGCCCACCUCCUUGCUUGGCUGCCUUGUGAUUAAAUCCUUUCUCUUUGCAGACUCGUCAUCUCAAUGAUUGGCAUAAUUGUGUGCCAGGAAAAACAAACCUGGUUCAGUAACUUCAAGAUAAUGAAGAUUUAUCUUUGAGCGCCUUCUAACUACUGUUAAUUCUCAUGCCUCCAUUUGGUACCAGAGUCUCAAUAAAUAGUCUCAGUAGAUCACACCAUGGACUUCCCCUGGGGUACUUGAAAUUUAAGAUAAUAGUCUGAGGAGCCCCAAAUUGGUCAGAUCAGAAGCUUUCCAAUCAACAUGCUUUGUAAGUGUUUGAAGGGGAUUCUAAGAUAAGCAUCAUAUAUUUUAUUUAUUUAUUUAUUCAUUCAUUCAUUCAUUUAUUGCUAGACUGCUCCAUGAGAACAGGAACUUUUUCAUAUCCAUGCACUGCUGUGUCCCCAGUGUGGUGCCUGGCACUUAUUACAUAGUUUCUGAAUGAAUGAAUACCUGUCUAGUCAUGAGAACUUGAGUCCCAAAUCAAGUGCACUUUCUAGAACUAGAAACUUCGGUACCAAAAUAAACAUCAAGCUAAUGUCUACUUAGAACUGCAAAUACCUUCACUGUAAUUGUGCUGUUAGUUUUUAAUCCACCCUUCUUAGAGCUUCCCGGAGCUCUGAUUUGGGCUAUAUGCUCUUGUUCUUCACUUCAGCUCCUCAGGAGCCUCCUCCUCCCUGAACUUUGGCUCUUCUGCCCUCUACCCUGACCUCUGGGCUCUGGUAGCCUAACCCAUCACCCAACUAUUCUUGUUUCUAGGAUUGUGGUGGUUUUUAUCUUUGUUUUAAUUUCAUUGAUAACUGAGAUUCCUUAGCCUGGCUCUGCAAUUCCAUAGAUACCCUGGACACAGGCCUUCUCUUUCUCAUGAUGUAUUCACUCAUAGCUGCUGAAGGGAACAAUAUUCAUACCAACAGUUCAAAGUCCAGUUGCAACAACCAGCUGUAGCCGUGGCAGCUGGGUGAGGUCCCAGGCUGAAGAAGUCAGCCACAAUGACCCAGGGGAUGGGGCUGCGUCUAAGCUCAAAGAAUACCACAGAGCCAAAGUUAACUCCAGACAGAGCUCAUCCAUGAGUGGUCAUCCUUCAGUAGUAAAGCAGUGGAUGCGAGGAUGUAACUGAAAGCUAGGCCAUCACAUCCUAUUAGACAUGAUGUCCUUCUUGCCCACAACAUCGGUAUCUCUGAAACCAAAAUACAGGCUGUCCACACCUACACAGUGAAGACUUAGAUUAGCUUCCUUAUACCUACAUCUUUGCGAAUUCCUGCUUAGUAAUAAAGCAAUAAUUCCAGAGAGCAGCUGAGAGAGCAUGAGCACCAAGAUGAGGAGGAGGACAGAUUCCUAGUGUCUGGGUGUUUAAAAAAAAAAAAAAAGCACAAUCAUUUUAAUUUCUUGUGCCAUAUCAGCACUCCAGUGAAUGAAGGAUAGAGAAUUAGCAUGGCACGCUCUUCUUUCAUCUUGUUAAUGAGCAGGAAUCUGGGACUUAAGGCAGGACAAAUGGCCAAUAGCAGAGGCCACAAAAAAUCAAUCCCCAUGGUAAUCAAAGAUCUGACCCCUGAUGGUGCCUGACCUGUUGAACAUGCCAUAGGUAUCACAUAAGGAUGUGGAUUCCUUUCCAUCAUACAUGUGUAUCAAACCUGUGCAAAGUGUGCAGAAGAGGCAAAUGACCAAAUAUUCUAGGAUCAGCAGUUCAACUUAUUACGCCAUUUUAUAGAACUUCAUGAUAAAGUAACUUGCAAUAGCUUAAAGUGUUGAUAAUGAGCAUUGAGUAAUGCUUACUAUGGCAGAGGCUGUUACUUACCUAACUUGUGGUCAUUCUUUUUUUUCUUCCUUACCAAUAGGAUAUCUGAGUCUAUUCUGAGCAGCAGAGUGCCCAACUCUAUUUCUCAGCCUCUCUUGCAGUGAGGUAUGGCUAAUCAGGCCAAUGAAAUACUGAUAUAUCAAAUAUCAGGCCAACAGUAUAUUGAUAUAUCAAAUAUCAGGCCACUGAUAUAUUGAUAUAAUUGGAAUUUGUGGGGAAGGACUUCUGGGAAGGCAACUUAAUAAAAGAGAGAGGGACGCUAGGAAAUUCCCUUUUCCCUUCCCUUCUUUCCACCUGGAAUGUGGAUUUAAUGGCUGGAAUUCCAUAAAGCAUCUUGUGACUUUGAGGGUAUAAGCAAGGCCUAAAGGAUGGGAGAGGAGAAGAACAGAAGACACUUGGUUCCCUGAUGAUCUUCUGGAGCCUCCACACCAGCACUGGCUGCCUAUUUCUAUUCUUGAAUGAGAGAGAAAGACUCUUAUGUUUUCAACCACUGUAUUCAUAUCCAAAGGGAAUUCCUGUUAAACUUUCCAAAGAAAUACAUAGAGUCAAUAUAAAAGGAACUAACUCUUCUACCCAGAGAAAAUACUGCCUCAAACCAGGACCAGAGGAGAGGCAAGCAGUACCUCAUUGUGAGGCUGGCAUGACUUCAGAAGUGUAAUAGACCACAUCUGUUAUGAUCAGCUCUGGAGUAUUCAUGCCUCCAUGGUUGUACCUAAUUGUGGCAGAGUAAUGGAGACAGAGAAAGAGGUCUUCCCUGUCCCUUUAGCCCAGCAUAAUUCUUUGCAAAUCCUUUAUGAGGAUCUGGUAGCCUGACCCUAGAGUCCUUUGAAUAUCCUUUUGCAUGGCUGGUUUUCUUCAGGCCAACUUCUCUGCCACUCUUACUAAAAACAUAUCCAUUUACCUAUAGACAACUAUCUUCCUAAAGUACACAGAGAAUGAAUUAUAAAUUAUAUAUAUAUACUUACACUAUUUGAAGUUGGUUAACUUGUUGCCAAGAGUCAGUUCAAUAUGUAGCUCUUGACUGUUAUUAAGCCUGUUUGUGGAGAGGCCUAGUAAUCUUCCAGGUCUACCAUUUGUCUCUUCCUGUUGUUUGUCGGUGUGUAAAAGGGAGGAACAUGAUGUGUCUCAGUGCAAAAUGAUGAUAUGAUGUUGGCUGAAAGGUGUUUCUCAUAUAAAGGUCUAUUGGUUUCUCUCACAAUGUGAAUGCCCAUUCCCGUUAUUUCUUUCCCGUUAAAUCCUCUACAGUGACCCUGCUAGGAAAUGGGAAUUUUCUGUAACUCCCUUGAAAAUCCUCAUCAAUGUCUAUUUGAUGGAAAUAUAAGAUGGAGUAAGACCCACUUCAAAAAAAGUUACUUGAACAAGUAACUUCAUGAGUUUCAAAGAAUCCAUACUAUUAUUAUUUAGCUAUUAUGGGUGAACAAACCAAACCUACACCAGAAAACCACGGACAGGCUGAAACCAACCCUGAAUGUCCUCUAUCUGGGCAGAGUUGAUGUUUUUCACUUGGCUUUAUAUAGACCUGCUAGAUAGACCUCCAUGUCUCAGAUACCUUCAGAUUCUUCUGUCUUGGGCAUUGCCCCUUCCAAAUUCCAGAUAAAAUAUCCAAUCAGCAUUUAUCAAGUUCCUGAAGUAGAUCCUGGUUGUUGCUUGUCAUGUCACCAACCAUCUUAGCUUCAUUCUGUGGCUCUUUUCUGGACUGCUAGUUGCAACAUCUCGUCUACCAUCAGCAUGACUUCAUGCUGAUGAAUGCUCAGAAAUUUUACAUGUAAAUUCCCACUAUGCUGUAUUAGAGAAUAUGUAUUCAGGGUUCCGUAAGCAUUUGGACACUGACACUAAGGUAUUUGCUUCCUUGGAACUCCUGGUGCUAGGACUAGAGACCCUCUAUCAUUCUCUCCCAGUGGCUUGUCUCCAGGCUCCUCCUUACUUGAUCCAAGUCUCAGCCUGUGCCUCUGCCUUCAUCAGCUGGUCUUAAUAACUGCUUCUGCUUUACCAUGGAUACACUGCUCAUGACUCACAGUUCUCCCCUGAAACAAUGAGGCCUUUAGAGAGACCAGGGCAUGAGAGAAGGCUACAUUCCCAGUCUUAGCCCAAAUUUCCUAGGAAGCAGAGCCCAAGGCAAAGAUUAAGAGCUGGGGCUUUAUGAAGUACAGACCUAGGGCAGCAAGAGUGAGGACAAGGAAGUGAAGCAGGGAGGGAUGGGAAGAAAAGCAAGGUGGCCUAUUACCUAUUGGCCAUUGCUUCACAAUGAGCUGAGAAGAGAGACAAUAGGUUAUUCAGCAUGUGCAUCUACUUGGCUCUGCAAGAAGUCUCCAGAUGGUCUAUGCGGAGAAACCGUGCCUUGGAGCAGUUGAUUGGCAAAGAGAAGCAGAAGGAAUUUAUCUGAUCUGAUCCUUCUUGUUCCCCUCACAGUUUCAGGUUGCAUCAUCCAGCCACCGCUAGGAAAGCCAGAUCCCACAGCCCAUUGUAUGGCACUUCAGCAAGCCUGGAAGUGGUGCAAUGAGUCAGAAGCCUGAGUGUGCAGUGUUGGGCCUGUGGCAAGCAAGGGGGAGAGACUGGCGCUCCCAGGCAGAACGCUGUCCAGCUGCAGGUGGUGCAAUCAAAUGGCUGAGUGCGUUGAGCAGCUCUGGCAGCUGAAGUGGAGAAAAUAGCUGAGGGUCUGUGCAGAGGCAGAGGUAAUGUGACGAAGCACAAGACUCGCAUAUGCCUGAUUGAGUCCUUUUGCUGUUCACUCCAAGCCUGAUUUCCUGCCUCAGGUCCGCCUUCCUCUCUCACUACCUGAGACCUUUAGCACGUCUCUCUUCUGUUGAAUCUCACAUCCCUCAAAUCUCCACCUCUUUGCCACCAAAUCCUUACUUUACGUUUUCAGUUUUGCUCUCUUCCAUGGUGAUUAACAGUUUCCUUGUUUACCUCUCUUAACAUCAACUUUCACAUCAAAGUAAAUGGCCUUUCAUGGCACUGUAGCUUCUUGAGGAAGGCAAGGAUGCUUUCCUGGCAGGAUGUUGUGGCAAAAACAAAGCCAGACUAGAAGGUAACAGGCCCUCACUAAAUUUAGGAAAACUCAAGGGCCAUCCACCCUUAAGAGACAAUGGGACUCACUGGGGACCAAUGGGUUUUCAUCCCAAGAUGUUUCAACUCCACUCUACUGCUAUGUGACACCCAUGUACAUGCUUGGGCCAGCUGCUAGUGUCUAGGGCCACAUUAUUCUAAAGUAGAGCCUAUGUGAAUAAAGGCAGGCUUGUUAAGGAAGUCCGAGUUUUCUAAAAGCAAACAAAUGAAAGCCAAGAAAAGCAAUGAGGGCCAUCUUAGUUUCAGGCACUUUUACGUUCUCUACAAGUAUAGAGAAGAGUACACUCUCACUCAGUUAUUGAUCAUCUAAGUACCAAUAAAUACUCUAGGGAAUCUCCUUGCCCCGUGGAGCUUAAUCUCUGGUGUAUGUGUGUUGGGAGACACCCAAUAAACAAAAUUAAUAAUUAUUUAUUAGAAAAAGCUAAGUACUAAGGGGAAAAAAUAAAACAAAGUGUGGUCAGAGAAUGCUUUCCAGAGGAGGUGAACAAAGGCAUGGAGGAGGUGAGGGAGCAAACCAUGUGGAUAUGUGGGGAGGGAUAUUCAGGCACAGGAACAAGCACAAAGGCUCUUUGGUGGAAGCAUGCUUCACUUAA